rnacentral:lncRNA from 1 species
UGAAUCAAUAACAUUCAAAAUUAGCUGAUACCUAUAAUAAUUUAACAAUAUUGUUAUAAGAUAAAACUGUACAAAACAUCAUAAUUAAACAUUUAAAUCUUUUUAAAAUUGCAGCUACUUAACCUCUUGUUUGCAAAUCCUUCGUACUUAUCACAGUUUACACAGUAAAAGCUUCCUCUGUUAAACAUAACCUUUCGAGUACACUUCUUGCAUGCAUUAUAACACCAAUGGGCAUAGCAGUCAACAUUGUCAAUCUUUGCACAAAUCCAAUGUUCUCCAUCCUGCCAAAGUUCAUAACACAGCAACUGCUCUCUUCUUAAUACACAUUACCUCAAACUCCAAAACUUACAUCAACAAAAGACAUUAUUACCUCAGUAGUGAAAACAUCAUCAAUAGUUUUGACAGCUAUAUUUCCAUUUAAAAAAUCAUCCACAUCAACGGAUGCUUUCUCAUAUGUUAGUUCAAGCUUCUUAGGAAGCAAACCAUUGCCAGCAAUCCUUAAUAUAAAAAAGAAAUCACUAUUACAGAAAGAAAACACCUCAUUAAUACAUUAACAUUACAUACAUUACUGAACCACUUACUGCUUUCUAAAUGCCUCGAUUUCAGGAAGAUCACUAUUUAGAUAAAUUUUGGAUCCAUUGUAGGAUGUGCAUGCACACAUCUCUCCUAUAAACAUCAUUACAUAUUAAUAAUCUACUAUUAUUACAGAACAGAAACUUCAACAAUAAAUAAAUAAUAAAUAAUACAAUUAAAAGUAUACCCCUGUACUGAUUUGGUUUGCACAGCUGAAUAAUGAUAAUUGGUGCUCUGUUGUCAUUGUGGUUAAGUUGUUCCAGAAACAUAUCCACAUAAUCCUCCCAAAGAGUACAGAAAAUCCGGUUAUGUCUGAUAAAUUAAAUACAACAACAAAUUACCAAAAUAGACAACAAUAAUUUUACAAACAAUUCAUAAUAUAUAACUAAUACAUACUUCUCAUCCUCCAACUUGAGUUCCACCAUUUUACAGUCAGCAUCAUUCUUAACAAAUCCCUUACCAAUUAUCAAACCAAUGACGUCUGCAAUAAAAUAUCAGAUCAGUAUAGAAAAAACAACAUAAAAUAAAGAGAAAAUUUAAAUAAAACCACACAUACCAAAUAGUGCUUCUCCGUCAGUUUUCUCAAUAGCUGCAAUUUCCUCAAAUGAUUUAAAUGAGAACAUAUACUUUGGAAAACUCAUUGGAAAGAUCUCAGAUAUCAUGCUUUUUGCUGUCAGUUCAAGGCGAUGUGUAUGGUCUGUAACCCUAAACCUCGAGUCAUUCCUCUUAACCAUGAAAUUCAUGAUUUGAUAAACCCACCCUUCAUUCAUUUUCUUUUCAAACAUUUUGAUUAAUUUGUGUGGCACAGUCAGUUGUAUCCUUGUUCCCUGAAAAUUUACUAACAUAUUAUAUAUUGUGUAACAGGUUCCCAAUGAAGCAGGUAUCAAAAGGUAAAUAGGAAAUAUAACAGGUUCAAAUAUUGUGCAUAUAGAUAGUACCUAUACAUAAUAUAUACACUUAUUGCUAAACUCUCUACAUGCAUUAUAAAAUAUAAUGAAAAAAUUAACUCUUAAGUAAUCAAGCAUUAUCAAAAGUAAUAUCUUUACUGGAAAAAAAAACUAUAUUUAAGUGUUGGCAAAAUUAGCAUGUAUACUUUUCAGUUAAAUAGCAGUCAUAUUAUUAUAUAUUAUAUAUUGGUGGAAAGGUAAAUAGGAAAUAUAAUAUAAACCUGAUCAUCAUGCACAAUACAUUCUAUUCGAACAAUUUCUGUCUUCGAUCCAGUUGCAUAUUUGUCAUAGCAUCUCACACAUCGGACUUUUAUAGCUUGAUUUGUUCUACUUGCAACCAAAGCAUCAAUACUUGAAUAUAAAGGAGCCAUCGACACCUGUUGCUUUAACAUGAAAAUAAAGUACAAAAAUUAGAUGUUAUUAUAUAUAUCUAUAUAUAUAUAUAUAUAUAUAUCAUGAUACAUGAUUGAUUCUAUUCAUUUAAAUCAAACAGAGAAGACAGCAACAACAGGUAUCCUCUGUGUACCAUUUAGAAGCACAAAACUAUUUUUUCAUAAAUUUUAUGUAUUUUAUGUUAAUAUUCCUUUGUAUAUAAGCAUGUGUAAUAUUCUAUCCAUUUUGAGUGAAAAAUUCCUGUUUCUAACCAAAAUCUGUUCAUAUGUUCACUUUAUCGAAAUUUUUGCAGGAACAACAUAAGAUAAAGAUUCAUUUGGAAACAAAAAGAAUCUGUUCAUAAAGUGAAGAUCCUUUUACAGAAUAUUCAUAUAUUCAUCAUUGUUGCAUGUGAUUACCAGAGGUCCUUUCAGUGCACGAAAAGGCUUUUGCAACAAAGAGAACAAUCAAUGUAGGAAGAAAAAGACAAAUCUACGUUUUGAAUAGUUUUUUUUCAAACAAAUGAACAUGUAUUGCUGAUUGUCACAUGUGAAAAUAAACUCUUUCCAUUUUCUGAAAAGUAGUUAUGCGACAAUAUAGAAUACAAAUUCUAAAUAAAAAAGCAAAAAGUAGAUAUUUUAAUAGAAAUCAAUACUUCAUUUUCGAAGAAAAGCACAGGAAAAAAAAGUAAAGAAUUGAAGCUCACUAUAAAAACAGAAGAAAUUUUUAGAAAAAGAAAGGAGAGAAGAUUUACUAAUAAGCAAGCACAAAUUCGAAAUCUGUAAGUUCAAUUGUGGGAAUUAGCAUUAAUGAGCUACUAUUUAUAAACAGAACUCACAGUUAGUAUCAGCAGAAAAAUGGGCUCCAAAAUUUUGAAUUUGAAUUUGGGCUCCAAAGUCCAGCGGAUAUGUGCAAAGCCCAAAAGACAAUCAACAGUAAUUUUAACCACUGUACAAUAGAAUGCUGCAAGUGGCGGGAAAAAAAACAUGCCAAAC